rnacentral:tmRNA from 1 species
GGGGUAGUAAAGGUUUCGACGGGGAAUGUAAAGACGGAGAAGCUAUCCGCAGGCGUGCGUUAAACGUUCUUUUAAAUUAAACGCUGAAGACGAUUAUGAUUUAGCGCUUGCUGCCUAAUUUAGGUUAAGCAGCAACCAAAGGCCGUUUCUUCUAUAAACGGCGGUCCGGUCCGGUUUGCCCGCAGGAUCGGAGUCCGGGUCUUAUAUUUUGCGGGGUACUCCCGACGGUGAUGUCUUGUGGCCGGCGGGCGAUAUUACAGGGCUCGGCCAUGUGCCGGCGUUGAUUCCCGGAAUGUGGUUUAAACAGCUUUGAGCAAAUGAUCAACUAUGAUAGUAGAAGACCGUACGGAGCGUUUUCCGGACACGAGUUCGAUUCUCGUCUACUCCACU